GUGAGACAGGUGCUGCAUGGCUGUCGUCAGCUCGUGUUGUGAAAUGUUGGGUUAAGUCCCGCAACGAGCGCAACCCUUAUCCUUUGUUGCCAGCGGUCCGGCCGGGAACUCAAAGGAGACUGCCAGUGAUAAACUGGAGGAAGGUGGGGAUGACGUCAAGUCAUCAUGGCCCUUACGACCAGGGCUACACACGUGCUACAAUG
rnacentral:rRNA from 1 species